CCCGGGUGAAGACUUAGUUGUAUUUAUCAAUUAUAAGUACACCAUAGAAAUGACUGAACAGAUUGGUGUCGAGGUGACAAUGCUCCGCCUUCUCGUGCGUCGGCGGUGAUCACGGUCGUUAUAAAUAUUUGUCACCUCGAUCGGAGGGUAGGUGAUGGUGACCGCUGCCGUCGUUGUCUACUGGUGGCACGUGGUCCAUACUCGAACACGUUUUUCCUUUGGCCCAUGAAUACGUAUCACCCGUUAUUGCAUGGGAAUGUUGUCGGUUUACCACACCCGUAUUAAUGGCUUUUACGUGCGUACAUUUAAUGUGAC